ensembl:lncRNA
CUGGAUUCUCAACAUAUUUACGUCUCCUGUUUUCUCAAGCUAAAUGACAGCAUGGGUACUUAUGUCCUUCCGUUCUCUUGGUCCCCUUUGGCUGGCAUCUGGGAAAUGAAACCAUCAUCACCGGAGGCCCAGAUGAUAUCUAAAGCAAACAGCUCAGACCAGUCCGGGAACACAGGAGGUGGUGUUGGAGGUGUCCUGGAGGAGAGGAGCUGACCGUGGUGCUGUACAGGUGUGUUUGAACCCCCCCCCCUCCCGCCUGGCGUGGAUCACGAGCCCGGGGUCAGAGCGAGGGAGGUGCAACAAGAGAAGGAACACCUGCGUGACCUCGGCCCGCCCCUCCGCCUAAAGAACCCCACCCACGGGAGAACAUGGCUCGGAUUGAACAUGGGACUUUCAAUCUGCCAUAUUUUCUCAGAACUGAAAAGGGUCUACUGGGCCGGUCAGUCGACGGCCUCAGAGGGCCGCUGCAGCGGGGCCAAACAGCUGUGCCGAGCGGGGCGAGAGGCCGUGGACAGUGG